rnacentral:rRNA from 1 species
GAUGAACGCUAGCGGCAGGCCUAAUACAUGCAAGUCGAACGGUAAGGCCCUUUCGGGGGUACACGAGUGGCGGACGGGUGCGUAACGCGUACACAACGUACCUCUGACAGGGGGAUAGCAUUGGGAAACUGGUGGUAAUACCCCAUAGUAUUGCUGGGAGGCAUUUCUUGGCAAUUAAAGUUACGGCGGUCAGAGAUCGGUGUGCGUCCGAUUAGCUAGUUGGCGGGGUAACGGCCCACCAAGGCGACGAUCGGUAGGGGGUGUGAGAGCAUGACCCCCCCACAUGGGUACUGAGACACGGACCCAACUCCUACGGGAGGCAGCAGUAAGGAAUAUUGGACAAUGGUCGGAAGACUGAUCCAGCCAUGCCGCGUGAAGGACGAAGGCGCUCAGCGUUGUAAACUUCUUUUGGAUGGGGAUAAUAACCUCGAUUUAUCGGGGCUUGAAGGUACCAUCAGAAUAAGCACCGGCUAACUCCGUGCCAGCAGCCCGCGGUAAAGUGUGACUGU